rnacentral:rRNA from 1 species
GGAAUAUUGGGCAAUGGGCGCAAGCCUGACCCAGCAACGCCGCGUGAGUGAAGAAGGCCUUUGGGUUGUAAAACUCUGUUCUAUGGGAAGAAGGAAGUGACGGUACCAUAGGAGAAAGCUCCGGCUAACUACGUGCCAGCAGCCGCGGUAAUACGUAGGGAGCAAGCGUUGUCCGGAAUUACUGGGCGUAAAGGGUGCGUAGGCGGCAGCUUAAGUCAGAUGUGAAAUGCCGGGGCUCAACUCCGGAGCUGCAUCUGAUACUGGGCCGCUAGAGUGCAGGAGAGGAAAGUGGAAUUCCUAGUGUAGCGGUGGAAUGCGUAGAUAUUAGGAGGAACACCAGUGGCGAAGGCGACUUUCUGGACUGUAACUGACGCUGAGGCACGAAAGUAUGGGGAGCAAACA